AUGGUGGGAAAUGGAAGCAGGAUUAAAACCGCAGAAUUAACUGCUCAAUACUUCAGAGUUGUGAACAUGCAGGAACCUGAAAAUAAUGACAUAGCAUUCGUGCCCAAAGAAACAUUUCCCACCCUGAGAUUCUUACCCCGCCGUAAGCACCCGCCGCAUCCAAAUCCAACUGCCCAGACAAACAAAACCACCAUCAGUAUGAAGAACAUUUUGGACUGUUUUAUAACCUUAGACAACACAUAGCAAGCACACACUCAUAUACACCUGCACCAAAAUGCUGUGGCAAAACAUACAGAAAGAUUUAGACAUCAACAUACAUCAUGACAAACCUCAACGAUGGUGACAAUCAUACAAACAAAUUGAUACCCAGCAUGCAUUUCAGCAUAAAAUCUUCUUUUGUUUAUUGUCACGAUUGUUGAGUUUUAUUCGCUGAGUCUUGAUGUCUAAUGAGUCAGCACUUAAAUGUAUUUUUUUUGUUAGUAUUUUUUUGUUAAUUCAUAGAAGUGUGAUAGCCGUAUCACUACUUUAAUCUCACACUGUAGUUUCACACAUAAAAAACAAUACACUUGUGAGCAAUUAUUUAAAUAAAAAUGAUUACAGUCACCAUCACCUGAUCCCAAUGGAUCUUAGUUUUCAUUGCCUCAACAAAUGUAUUUUAGCACAUUGUUACAACAGGCAAUGAAAACCUAACAAUAAAGUACAAGAGUCAAGAGCCCAACUAAACACUGAUCACAAUAAUGGGGUUAUGUUGAUAUUUCAACAUUUUUUUCCACAUUAUUUUUUUAUUUAUUUUUUUACACUGAAUCAAUGGCUGCUAGCUAUCAGGGAGAGACCAAAAUAGAACAGAAGACACAUGUACCUUUACUCACCAGAAAGCAUUGAAAAUCCAAUAGAGAAAUUAAACCAGAAAAGAAGAAAUGUCCACGAAACCGAAAGGUGCAUAAAAAGACAAAAUCUCAUUAUGCAUUGAUUAAUGCUAAUGACACCAUUCUAAAAACAUGAACUUCCCUCAAGAAAUGUCAUUACCUACACAGAAGAGAGAAAAUAAAGAAAAGGACAGAUUUGGGUAUUACUUUAAAGAGCAAGAACACUCAUAUAAUGGAGUAGGGUGAACAAGAGUAUUUUUACAUUAUCCUGCGGAGCAAAGCGAGGUUUGACUGUUUACUGAAUAUCUCUCAUGUGACCACACACAAUAUGAUCAGCUCUGGGUCCUACAGAAUCUGACAUAUCUACAAUCAGAUACUAAAUACAGAUACCAAUGACUUCUAACAGUGGCAUUAAUAUGAUUGACUGCUUUAAAGGAAAGUAGACAUUGAAAAAUGCAUGCAUUAAUAUAUAUGACACACAUCUAAUCUUUAUCUAAAUAAGUGGAUGAAUGAAAAUUUAAUGCCAAAUCUGGAAGAAAAAACAAAAAAACCUAAAUACAUACACAUAGUUAAUUAGGGCUAAGAUUGUAACAGCUAGUUUUUAAAGUAAUAACUCUCCCCUCUUUGUCUUGAACAUGAGCAGCAGGGGAGGGGUGCAGCACAGCGUGUGCGUGUGUGUGUGUGUGUGUGUGUGUGUGUCGCCCGCGCGCGCGCGCACUGACAUAUUCGUCCAUCCAUCUGUAUUUGUUUUCCAGACAGUUGAUUCGAUCAUGCUGAGUCAUAGGAUUCGCUCUGUCUGCCACACCCUGCACUUUUCCAAUCUAUCAUAUCCCUUUUCUUGGGUCUUCCUUGCAUGUGUGUAGGUGUGCAUGAUUUUAAUGUGUGCUCAUAUUAUCUCAGCGAUUUACAUACAGAUGUAAUACAGAAACCAGUAUAAUGCUGUUCCCGCCUAACGCGCGUGGCUCACCGCCUCCUCUCCAGCUCCGUUUCCAUAACAACAGAAUCCCCCCGGGAUCCCCGGAACACACGGACACGGCAGCCGAGCGCUCAAAGACGGACGCAAACGCUGUCAUGGAUGCCUCUGCCGCACUAUUGUGCACGCAGACUGCAAAUAUUCCAGAAACCAGUGAAGUGAACGCUCGAAAUACAUUAUUUAGGUAGCACUUUACAAUAAUAAACUAACACGUUAAUACACUUUAAUACAUUAACUAACAUUAACUAAUCGAACCAUAUUGUAAAGUGUUACAAUUAUUUGUUAUUAAAGUAUAUAUACGUUCACAAAAACACUGUUAAAAAAAAAAAAAAAAAAAAAAAUAACAAAGAAAGACAGUGACAGCGCUACACAGGGGCUAUGGGUGGGGGGCUGCAGCCGCGUCAGAAUUUUUAAUAGCCCGGAAGGAAGUGAUUAAAACUGCAAUUCAUCGACUGGACGCUUGAGGCUGGCUGCAAAAGGGAGUCAGUCCCAUAGUCUCCCCAUGUUUAAAAUGCCCAAAUUUACAGCAAAAAAACUUGUUUACAGUCUGGUUCAAAACAUGAUUUUGGUCUAUAUAGCUAAUUUUGCCCUUCAUGACAACUGUGAGGGUUGGUGAAUUUUUUUUAUAACUCAAAUUAUAUUAAGCCUUAAAUUUCUGCAUAAUUAAGGGCAUGGCCACUUGAGUGACAGGUGGAUGGACGCUGCUGACACUGCCGUCGAACUAGGUGGGCGUGGCUUCAGAAACAGCUCCCGCCUUUUUGCCCAAUUUCAAUGAUCUUGGAGUGACGCGCGGUGCCCGUCACUGUUAAGAGUAUGACUAAUACUAAUUAAAAAGCAUAUAAGGUAAGGCUAUUAAAUAGUAGUCCCAAUACUAACAUGAACUAUUAAUGAAACAUGGAAACUGCUGCUGAAUAGAAUGAAUAUCAUACCUUCAUGCAAAUCCUUCCCAGUUAACACACACAGUACCAGUUAUGUUAUUUAUUGUUACUGUUACUUUUAUU
rnacentral:lncRNA from 1 species